rnacentral:ncRNA from 2 species
GUGCAAUACGCCGAAGAGAGACCUUAGAUGGUCCGCCGAAGGAGCAAGCCCAAUCCGGCGAAUCUCUCAGGUACAGCAGACGGCGGGGGCAUU